rnacentral:rRNA from 1 species
UACGUAGGGUGCAAGCGUUGUCCGGAAUUAUUGGGCGUAAAGAGCUCGUAGGCGGUUUGUUGCGUCGGCUGUGAAAUCCCGAGGCUCAACCUCGGGUCUGCAGUCGAUACGAGCAAACUAGAGUGUUGCAGGGGAGACUGGAAUUCCCUGGUGUAGCGGUGAAAUGCGCAGAUAUCAGGAGGAACACCGGUGGCGAAGGCGGGUC